rnacentral:lncRNA from 1 species
UAAUUUUCACACACAGAGAUUUACGAUUUGAUUUCUCUAUAGCUCCGCUACUUGUUACCAAGCAAACUAAGUUCUAUAGAUAAUGUACAUUUAAUAUGAAAGAAAUGAGAUAUCGUGUGCACCGGCAAUCCAAUACCUUCUUCAGCUUUGCUUGGGCUGUUGCUAGGUGCAGCCAAUAUUAUUUUUUGUGCACCCAACAAUUUAAGUGAAAUAAAAAUGUCUUUCACUUAAAUUUUAAAAAUCCUCUCCCUCUCAUCUCCUUCAUGCAUUCGGUACAUGCUUCUGCUGCAACACAGCUUCUUCCUCCUUUGUCUCUGCGUUAUCGUUGCCGCGUCGCCGUUAGCCUCCAUUGGUUCCGUUCAGGCUGUUUACACCACUCUCGUGCUUUUUUGUCGUCAAGGUAAGGUUUUUUUUUCUGGUUUAGAAUCAUGUUUGGUAUCCACGUAACACAUAUGGAUUACCUAAUCUGUAUGAGUUAUACGAAUUAACUCAACUGUAAAACUCAUACGGAUUAGUUAAUCCAUAUGUUUUUUUAAUUUAUCAAUAAAUUAAAUUUUUUUAAAACUAAAUGUUUUUUAUUUAUAAAAAAUUAUUUUGAUUUUUUUUAAAUAGUUAUUUUUUUAUUAAAUAUAAAUAUAUUAUUUUGUUUUUUGUUUGUAGAUAGUUAUUGUUUAAUUUUUAAAUAAAAAAAUAUUAUUUUAAAUUGUUUUUAAAUAGUAUUUUUUUAAUUACAAAUAUAUUAUUUUAUUUUUUGUUUGCAAAUACUUAUUGUUUAAUUUUUAAAUAAAAAAUAUUAUUUUGAAUUAUGUUUUUAAAUAGUAAUUGUUUUUAAUUGAAAAUAUAUUAUUUUGUUUUUUGUUGGUAAAUAGUUAUUGUUUAUUUUUUAAAAUAAAAAUAGAUUAUUUUGAAUUAUGUUUUUAAAUAGUAAUAAUUUUUUUAAUUGUAAAUAUUAUUUUUUAAAAUAGUUAUUGUUUCUUUUUAACAAUCAUAUUAACAUAUUUAUAAUUUAAAAAAUUAAAAAACUUAACAUUUUUUUAAUUAAAAAAAUUAAAAUUCCAUAUAACUCUUAUGGAUUAGUUAAUCCGUAUAAGUUAUAUGAAUUACAUAAUUCGUAAGUUAUAUAAAAGUUAUGCACUAACAAAUCCAUAAGUUAUAUAUAAAAAAAGUUACUUAAAAGAAAGCAGAAAACACUCCAUAAGUUAUAUAUAUAUAAAAUUACUUAAAAGAAAGCAGAAAACACUUAAAAAUAUUUUCAGAAUUUUAUUUUAAUGCUAGGUGCACAAGUAAAGAAGACACAAAAAAGACACGUAAGUUCAAAAUUUUAUUUUAAUGAUAGGUGCACCUAGCAACAUCCCUUUGUUUAGGUGCUUAAGAAGACACAAAGUCCAACUAUUAAAACCUAUAGAUCCAAAUUUGUAGGCCCAUUAUGUUGUGAAAUGCGUUGCUCUACGUCGCGAACACGACUAGUGAGUUUGUUUAUUGUGUCCUCCAAAGUCCAUUAUAUUAGGCGCUUUUAAAUAAACUUAAUUGCAUAUUUAAGUUAUUUACUGUACGAGAGCUAAAAUUGUAUGAUGACUGCAAAGUUCAUUAAAAUAAGUUGAAAAUAAAUUUUGGUUUAAUCAUUCUUUUUAUCCUUAUAAUUUAAAACAACUUGUUCUUUUAGUCUUUCAGUUUAAAACAUCUAUGUUUGGUUAUUAUAGUUACAAAUUCAGGACGCAUAUGAAACCGAGAGAGAAAAAGUUGCUGGAAAAAUUGAGGGUAAUUUGGAGAUAACAUGUUUGAGAGAAAAGAAAAACUGUUACAAAAUAAGCAUAAGCUAAAAAUGUACACAUGCAUAAAAUCAACUUUUUUUCUUAAAAAAAACUUACAUUUCAGAAAAUGUUCCUAAACAAAACAGCUGAAAUGAAUAGUUUUAGUUUGUCCCAAACACAUUUUUCUGAUUCUAAAGAUUACUAUGAUAGCACCUCAAGUAUAGGUUUAAAAUGAAAAUUAUUCAUUUAUUAUCCUCGUAGUUUUAAUAAAAUGUUACUCAUAUUUUGAAAUAUAAAAUUUAGUGUUUAAUGUUUUGAUGCCUUUUUUUUUAUUUUCGCAUGUAUUUUUCUGAGAAGUACAUCUUCUUACAUUGCAAUUAGAGGGAUAGAAUGAAAGAAAAAACCUAGAUUGAAGAGCAAUGGGAAGAUUCCCAGAGUAUAAGAGAUAAAUUCAUGAAGCACCAAAAAGAUAAAAGAAAAAAAAACAGCAGCAGGUUACAACAAAAAUAGAGCAAUGUAUAGAAAUGGAAUUCAACUAUUUCCUUCAUCCCCUGUACAAAAUUAAUUUAUAAAGUUAAAAGAAUCUGGCGUUAGUCGUUUAUAUAGAUAUAUACAUAACUAGAGCUAUGUAUAGAAAUGAAUGUUGAAUAUUAUCCUUAAGAAAGACUGGGCUAGUAAGAAUUCUAGCAGAAAAACAGAGCUGAGAGGUGACAAGUGAGAACCACAAUUGAGUGUAGAUGAAGAUUUCAGUAACCCAACCCAUCCAUAAUAUCCAAAACGUUAUAGUUUUGGUGGUUAAAGACUUGUCUUGUACCGAAGAAUUCCUUGGCAGGUGAACUCCCAGCACUUUUGGUCACUUGCAAAUGUUUGACGUGUCUUUUCUUGGCCAAACCAAGAUCCUCACUUUUGCUAAGUCCUGGACUCUUUCUCCUUGCAAUAACCUCCUCCAAUAGUCUCCUAUCCUCAUGAGAAAUUUGAGUUCCCAACGGCUUGUUGCUACUAUCCACAGAUAGAAUUAAAAACUGUCGCAUCUUAGACUGAAGUUCGAGUCCUUUUGGAGGAGACCGUGUUGUAGGCAUUGGUCUCAAGGUAUUCUGUCUAGAUUUUACAGAGCUAAUCAAAUGGUGAAGCCAUGCCAACAAUUCAAUGAUGUAAACAUCUAUCUUCCUCUUAUCAGCGUAAUAAAGUGUCUCCAGGCGAAUCAGGUUACUUUCUUUGGAGGUGUUAUCACCAAAGUCAUUACUGCAAUAUUAGAACAAAAGUUAUCAUUAGGUUUCCUUCCAACUGCACGUGUAAACACAAUUAGUAUAUGCUAAGAGAAUAAUACUCCAUGUUUACAACUAACCUUGCGUUUGCCCAUUCACCAACCCAUCCGAAACCUUGAUGUGCUCUGUCAUGAAUAUCAAUAGAGAAAACAAAUGCAUAAGCAAUUGCAGUUAAAGGAAAUAAGACCAGCAAGGAGAGAGUGAAAAAAGAGCAAGUAUAAGCAAAAUUUUCAAACAAAUAUAUUACAUAUCUUACUUGACUGUAUUUGUAGCAAGUGGUGCAAGCCACUGAAGAAUCUUAUCCAUUUCAGCUUUGAUCCGAGUGAUGGAGAGCUACAGAAAAUUGCUAUGUCAUUUAACAUAAUUCAAAACGAAAUAAAACCCUAUCUUCAUGAAGUGGGUGUGAGUAAGCCCCCAAAAAAAUGACACAUAACUAGGACUAGAAAAUGGAAUGCAAUGGAUAUCUG